rnacentral:lncRNA from 1 species
GGAAGUGACGGCGAACACCACGUUGGGAGCGGGAGGCCGAGCUGCAAGGGCGAAGGAGAAAGAUGGGCUCGCGGAAGGAGAGACAGGGAAACAGCGGGUUUUUUGGAGGGUCGGGUGUGUCCAGAAUUGCUGGGUUCUUGGCCUCGCUGACUUGAAGAAUGAAGCCGCAGACCCUGGCGAUGUCAGCCCCACCCCAGGAAUCAACUGAAAAUUUGGUUCCAUUCCUGGACACGGAUUCAGCUGGAGAGCUGCCCCUAGGGCCAGGGCAGUUCUCAGUUGCACACCAGGAUUUCAAUGACAAGCUGACUCUGCAAGAAAGGCUCCCAGAGGUGGUUCCAAUGCUGGACAGGGAUCAGAACCAGACCCUAGUUCAGCCUCCUCGCCUCAAAAGAACCUGAAGAAAGAUCUAGCUCAGCAUUGGAGCAUUGCUGAUAUUGUUGGAAUUCCACAGCAAUUAUCCAAACCACAGCGUUAGAAACAGACUUUGCAGGAUGAAUAUUCGAGUAUGGAUACACAGUAUCCUGGCAGCCUGCCUCCAGAACUCCGGGUGAACUCAGAUGAGCCUCCAGGGUC